CUUGUUCUGAGCUAGCAGUACUUGGCUAGGUUAUGAUAUGAAUGAUGACAUUCUGGUUUUCUGGUAGCAGGUUGUGGCUGGCGGUGCAGGUGUGGAUCAGAGGAAAUGGGCAUGGCAAUAUUGCAUCAUCAAAUGGCGCUUCUGGUGUUGUCGUCUGCGUCAGUGGCAACAAGCUGCAGAUACGGUGGUUGCUUGUCCUGUAAUUGUAUGGAUCCAGAUUAUCCAUUAUCUGUUUCAGAACCGUGCCAAGACAUGAACUAAGUGCCCAGAUUUGUUACGAUGGAAUGGGACAUGGACAGAUGGACUAAUCAUGGGUUUGCAAGCUCCUGGUGUGAGCUGUGCUCAACUCCUGUCACUAACUAAACACCAGUUUUCUGGUCACGAUGACCGUCACUAUGAUGCGCUCUUACGCUAAGGUGUGCUGCCCUGGUGUUCUUCUUUAUUAUGCAACGUGAAUGCCAAAUGGUCAACAAUUGUAGCCUUGUAGGGCUUGUUUGGAUCAUUGGAUGGAGGCUAACUUUGCACAAGUUAAAAGCCACAUAAAGCGUAGCCAACGAAUGGUUGGUCACAAGUGGUAAGAUUUGGCUAAAAACUUACCACGAACCAAACAUAUGCCUAAACAUAUGUCAAACAAAAUAUGAUAAACCUAACAUGUGGCACGGUAAAUUGUGUGGCCAAACAAACAAAGAGCCAAAUUGUCCGUUAUUAAAGAUUCUAACGGCAGGACACCUGGAGAUCACCAAAAUCGUUGGGAUCGUCCCUGGUCAUUACCCAAAAAUCGCAUGCACAUCGUUAUCCAGAGCAAUGGCACAAAUAAUUCAAGCUCUGGAAUUUGCUUUGGGUCGUCAUAAGCACACAACAACCAGUGUUUAAUCAAUCCACACCAGUGUUUAAUCAAUCCACAUCGCCAGUUCAUCGCUUGCUAUGCAAUAUUGGGUUGGACGGUCCGUGCGUGUAUGAUUACACCACCGUCCACCGAAUGUCGUGCACCCAUCGAUGUAAGUAUGUUUGAUGUCAUGUUUGUAAAGAAAAAAAAAUUGUUACAGAACGGAAAUAGAGUCAAGAAAA